GAUGAACGCUGGCGGCGUGCCUAAUACAUGCAAGUCGAGCGAACGGACGAGAAGCUUGCUUUUCUGAUGUUAGCGGCGAACGGGUGAGUAACACGUGGAUAACCUACCUAUAAGACUGGGAUAACUUCGGGAAACCGGAGCUAAUACCGGAUAAUAUUUUGUACCGCAUGGUUCAAAAGUGAAAGACGGUCUUGCUGUCACUUAUAGAUGGAUCCGCGCUGCAUUAGCUAGUUGGUAAGGUAACGGCUUACCAAGGCAACGAUGCAUAGCCGACCUGUGAGGGUGAUCGGCCACACUGGAACUGAGACACGGUCCAGACUCCUACGGGAGGCAGCAGUAGGGAAUCUUCCGCAAUGGGCGAAAGCCUGACGGAGCAACGCCGCGUGAGUGAUGAAGGUCUUCGGAUCGUAAAACUCUGUUAUUAGGGAAGAACAUAUGUGUAAGUAACUGUGCACAUCUUGACGGUACCUAAUCAGAAAGCCACGGCUAACUACGUG
rnacentral:rRNA from 1 species